UACAUUUAACGUGAGACAGCUCACUUUGAUGUUAUCUCAGCCAGUUUUUUAGUAGUUCUGGGUAGAGAUGGACAACAACUGGCCAUCUACCUUGAGAUGCUCCUUUUAUUUUUGAGUUAGGCUCUUACUUUGUCACCCAGGCUGGAGUGCAGAUCAUGGCUCACUGCAGCCUCGACCUCCUGGAUUCAGUGAUCCUCCUACCUCAGCCUGCCGAGUAGCUGGGACUACCGGUGCACACCCCAUACCCAGCUAAUUUUCAUUAUUUUGUUAGAGACAGUGUCUUGCUAUGUUAGCCAGGCUGGUUUCAAUGUCCUGACUUCAAGUGAUCUCCCCGCCUUGGCCUCCUGAGCAGCUGAAAGUACAGUUCAUGGCCCAGGCAGAGUCAUUCAUCACGGCAUCUCCUGAGCUAAACCAGCACCUGCUCUGCUCACUUCUUGACUGGCUGCUCAUCAUCAGCCCUCUGCAGAGAUUUCAUUUCCUCCGUGCCAGUAGCCAUCGACCCUCUGAUGAGGAUGCCCCCUCCAACAGGCACCGCCAGGCAGCCCUGCCUGGAGACCCAGAGGCACCGAGUCACAUUUGCUCUGCACACCUGGCUCUCGCUUGAUGUGGGCCUGUGUGCUACAGCCCGGAACACAAAAGAAGACACCCAUGCAAAUACCAUUAAAAGUUUAUUGUUUUAUUUCA
rnacentral:lncRNA from 1 species